GAUUUUUUCUACCAAAAAAAUAAAAAUCCAUUUGGCUGCUGAGAAAAUUUGAGGGAAACUUUAAAUUAAAUUUCAUUGUGCUUCCAGGGGCCCUAAUAAUGUAAGAGAAGAGGUGGGCCAGGCGGUCUUAACAAACUUUGUGGUGUUUCGCCUCAACUUGAGGCCAUUGUUGGGCAGCCAGCUCUGCCAAGGACCGAGGUUCAACACGCUUGCGCUUUCUUUUUAUGCGCUAAUUGCCGGUUUAUGGUCCGUUUAGGUUGCUGCUAAAUUUUCCCCAUGAUUGGGCUUUAGAUCGUGAAGCAGCUAUGGGUUACAUAAGGAAAAAACAAUCUUCAAGACCUAAGUAACAAAAGGAAAAUAAUUUGCAGCGAUGAGCUGCGCCUGGUGUUUGAGACGGACUGUGUGGAUGUGUUCAAGAUGAACAAGCUGCUGGCUAAACAUAUCAUUCCCCUCGAACCCACGAGUAUAUUUCCAUGUAUUUCAUCAUGGCUUUUCCAUUCUUGUUGCUGGUGCUGUGCUUUUAUGACUUGAAUAGAGAGUUUUCAUGUUUGUUUGUUUCUUAGAACAGCUGGGGUCUAAGAAGCAAAAGAUGGAUGAUGAGCUUGCAGCAAAACAAACUGUAUCUGCUCCUUCUGUAGCAAUUUCUGAAGAACUUGCAAAUUUUUUUGGUGUUGCUGUGAAAGAAAUGCUCCAAUCAGAGGUCUAGGGCCAUUGCGGGAAUACAUAGAUGUGAAUAAUUUGGAGGAUCCCCAUUGUCCAUUGGUGAUACCAUGUGAUGCAAAACUUCAAGAACUAUUUGGUUGUCAAAGCCUUCCUGCCUCAAGAAUACCAGAAGUUUUGGCACAGCAUCUUAUAUUUAGAACAUGGUAGUGGCUAAUCGCAGCUGGCUGACUUUUGGUGCCCACACCAACAAUCCAGCAUCAUGUCCGAGGUGUAAAUACUAGAUGUGGUUUCUUCAUCUAAACAGCAUUAAGAUAAUAAAUGAAUGGGGCUACAGGCGAGAAGAAGUUCUAAAGUGAAAUUGAUUGCAAGCUAUGGGUUCUGAUUGAAAUUGAUUGCAAGCUAAGGGUUCUGAUUUAUCUAAGUUGUUAUUUAAGUCAGAUUAACCAUUGGGAUUUUCUAACAACUGUAGCAUGUAUAUGUUAGGUCUGUAGGAAAAUAAAGUUGUAUAGAUGAGGAUUUCAACAAAAACACAUAUGAGAUGAGAUGUGUUAGUUGUUUGUGCAAUGGUAUUUUGUCUAUUACUUAGAUAUUGGUAUGAUUUUUCUUGAAGGGCUCAAUUCGCAUUGCUUAAUGCCCCUGAUAGGCUUGAGUUGAUGUUGCAUAGUUUCUCUAGAAUAUUACAAAAAUUGUAACUUAUUGGCUCAUAAUAUAUUGUAGUUAAGAGAUUGCUGACA